GACGAACGCUGGCGGCGUGCUUAACACAUGCAAGUCGAACGGAAAGGCCCUGCUUUUGUGGGGUGCUCGAGUGCCGAACGGGUGAGUAACACGUGAGUAACCUGCCCUUGACUUUCGGAUAACUUCAGGAAACUCGGGCUAUUACCGGAUAGGAGCUCCUGCUGCAUGUUGGGGGUUGGAAAGAUUCGGCGGUUGGGGAUGGACUCGCGGCUUAUCCGCUUGUUGGGGUGGUAGUGGCUUACCAAGGCUUUGACGGGUAGCCGGCCUGAGAGGGUGAACGGCCACAUGGGGACUGAGAGACGGCCCAGACUCCUACGGGAGGCAGCAGUGGGGAAUAUGGCGCAAUGGGCGGAAGCCUGAUGCAGCAACGCCGCGUGCGGGAUGACGGCCUUCGGGUUGUAAACCGCUGUCGCCUGUGACGAAGCGUGAGUGACGGUAAUGGGUAAAGAAGCACCGGCUAACUACGUG
rnacentral:rRNA from 1 species